rnacentral:antisense_RNA from 1 species
GGCAAAGGGAGCAGACAGCUGGCAAGCUCUGUCCCAAUAUGCUUCCCUGAAAGAGGCGAGGAAAUUUCAGAAGAUGCAAUGCCUGAAUGGCUCACUUUGCAGGAAAACAGAAGAACCAAGAGUGAACAGGCAACCUACAGAAUGGGAGAAAAUUUUUGCAAUCUACUCAUCUGACAAAAGGCUAAUAUCCAGAAUCUACAAAGAACUCAAACAAAUUUACAAGAAAAAAAAAAACAACCCCAUCAACAAGUGGGCGAAGGACAUGAACAGACACUUCUCAAAAGAAGACAUUUAUGCAGCCAACAGACCCAUGAAAAAAUGCUCAUCACUGCCCAGCUAAAUCUUGACUUCUAUUGAAGAAGUGAAGGAUGGAUUUUGUAAGCCAACCAGCAGCUAAAGGAGACUUAAGAGGAGUCACUGAAGAAUAUAAGGGUUAUGAAGACAGUGGUGUCCCAGAAACCAAGGAGAAGAGGAUGUUGCAUGAAGAAGGAGAUGAUGGUUUCACUUUGGUUACAUUUAUCCGAAUGCCCUGUCCAACUCUUCAGUGUCCCUAGCAAAAUCUGGUAUAGAGAUGGACACUGUUUUUCAGGUGAAACCUGCUGAGUGUGGAGAGUUGUGAAAAAUUUUUCCCUUAAAUUGAGAAUGUUUUAAAUAAUGCAGCCUAUGUUUUCUUUAAGUAACAAGGCCAUCCCACUGACGCACUGAUGUGGUUCUCAGCAAAAAACUCCCUGCUCUUUCUCAUAUUAAUUGCCAUAAAAACAAGUCACUUCUAUCAUGCAUUUGGCUCACUG